rnacentral:pre_miRNA from 1 species
UUGUGUGUGGAUGGUGUUCAGCACAAUGGACAGUCAUUUUUUGUUUGUGAAUUAUGUUCAGCACCAAGGACAGGCAUGUUUUGUC